rnacentral:rRNA from 1 species
GUAGGGUGCGAGCGUUAAUCGGAAUUACUGGGCGUAAAGCGUGCGCAGGCGGUGAUGUAAGACAGAUGUGAAAUCCCCGGGCUCAACCUGGGAACUGCGUUUGUGACUGCAUCACUCGAGUACGGCAGAGGGAGGUGGAAUUCCACGUGUAGCAGUGAAAUGCGUAGAGAUGUGGAGGAACACCGAUGGCGAAGGCAGCCUCCUGGGCCAGUACUGACGCUCAUGCACGAAAGCGUGGGGAGCAAAC